AUAUCGAAAGGGAAGAAAAAUAUGAUAGCAGCUGAUUCUGUGAAAAUAGUCGAGGAGGAUGGUCAAUCAUCGGAGUCUGUUACUAACGCAUGUAACUCGAUUGGCCCUCCGCAAGAUUCGGAUAGCUCAGAUACGUCUCUCAAGCUCGGGCUGCCAUACUGAGCUGAAACAAUGGAGCUAAGCUUAUAACUAUUGAUGGAUGGAUGAUUACUUACCAAAUAUGGAUGUUCUAAAAAUAUAUGCCCGUGUGUUAUGUUUGCUCCCUUCUUAUGGAAAAUAUGGAUUUAUGUAUUUGCAAAUUGAAAUGAAGUAAUAGAAAAGGUAUUGUUGCACUGUAUCAAGAAAAAGAGAAUUUCGAUUCGUUGGGACUUGGGCAUUCUAAUAUAAUGUUAAUUAGUGCGUGUUUUCCAGUAAAACCCAUCCUUUUGCUGUUGAUAACGAUGCACAUUAAUUUAGCAUAGUUUACUUAGCUUUGGGGCCCACAUUAGGGCACCAAAAGAUUGAUUUUUCAAUAAUGAUGAUUGAACAGCCUCAAAGACUGGACAAAAAUGGAAUCGCUGACUUGGUAGUA